rnacentral:rRNA from 1 species
AGAACGAACGUUGGCGGCGUGGAUUAGGCAUGCAAGUCGAAUGAAUCCCGGUUGGGUAACUGACUGGGGGAAAUGGCGAAAGGGGCAGUAAGGCAUGGGCAACCUACCCCGGGGACGGGCAUAGCCGUCCUAACGGACGGGUAAUUCCCGGCGAUUCAGUGUGGGGGCAUCCCCGGACUGGGAAACGAGUUUCGCCUCGGGAGGGGCUCAUGUAGUAUUAGCUUGUUGGUGGGGUAACGGCCUACCAAGGCGAAGAUGCUUAGCGGGUGUGAGAGCACGACCCGCGCCACUGGCACUGAGACACUGGCCAGACUCCUACGGGAGGCUGCAGUCGAGAAUCUUCGGCAAUGGGCGCAAGCCUGACCGAGCGACGCCGCGUGGAGGACGAAGGCCUUCGGGUUGUAAACUCCUGUCGAGGGGAGAAGGGCGCGAGCCCUUGACUGAUCCCUGGAGGAGCACGGGCUAAGUUCGCGCCAGCAGCCGC